rnacentral:misc_RNA from 1 species
GAUGAAGAACGUAGCGAAAUGCGAUAAGUAAUGUGAAUUGCAGAAUUCAGUGAAUCAUCGAAUCUUUGAACGCACAUUGCGCCCCUUGGUAUUCCGAGGGGCAUGCCUGUUCGAGCGUCAUUAUAACCCCUCAAGCUCAGCUUGGUGUUGGGGCCUGCUGCACUGGCAGCCCUUAAAAUCAGUGGCGGCGCCAUCUGGCUCUAAGCGUAGUAAUUCUUCUCGCUAUGGAGUCCUGGUGGAUGCUUGCCAUCAACCCCCAAUUUUUCUAUGGUUGACCUCGGAUCAGGUAGAGAUACCCGCUGAACUUAAGCAUAUCAAUAAGCGGAGGA